rnacentral:rRNA from 1 species
CCCGUACUGAUGUGAUGGGUUCUUACCUUCUGAAUAACCAGCAUGUCAUUAAUUUGGUGUGUUGGGGAAGCAGGACUAUUACCUUGAAAAAAUUAGAGUGCUCAAAGCAGGCUAGUGCCUGAAUACAUUAGCAUGGAAUAAUAAAAUAGGACGGCAUGGUUCUAUUUUGUUGGUUUCUAGGAUCACCGUAAUGAUUAAUAGGGAUAGUUGGGGGCAUUAGUAUUCAAUUGUCAGAGGUGAAAUUCUUGGAUUUAUUGAAGACUAACUUCUGCGAAAGCAUUUGCCAAGGAUGUUUUCAUUAAUCAAGAACGAAAGUUAGGGGAUCGAAGACGAUCAGAUACCGUCGUAGUCUUAACCAUAAACUAUGCCGACUAGGGAUCGGACGAUGUUAAUUUUAUAAUGACUCGUUCGGCGCCUUACG